GAACAGAGAAGAGCCUUAGCUGACUCAAACGCCUGUUGACACUCUGCAGACCACGUAAACUGUACCUUCGGGCUCAGUAAUGAGGGGUGCAUUCUGAUGGGCGACGCAUUUCCUACGUCAAUGUCAUGCUCCAACACCGUUGUGCGACUGGGAACGUCCUGAAAGAGACUGGGAAACGAAUGAAUAAGGGCAGACCUCUGCCACCAGCAUCCCAGCUACCGGACCUGGAACACCACAUGGGCUGGACUUUGUUGGGCUAACAGUGUAUGGACCACAAUAACGAGCUGAUAAAGACGAACCUGGCACCGACCAGGCCAGAAGAAGUGCCUGAGGACACGGUCGUAUGUUUUUCUGAUGCCCAGGUGCCCUGCCCACGUAUAAUCGUGAGCCAGUGACAACACCUGCUGACGGAACGGUGUGGGCAAAACAACCUGGUUUACUCUCAAGUGUGGGUGGAGGAGACUGCUCUCCUUUCGGCAACUGAACCGGGACUCUAACAGGUGGGAUCGGGUUUCUCUAAAACCUCCAGAACUGGGACGACCUUGCCCCCAGCUAUGUCGUUGCCCAACAAAAAUGACACCCUGUCAACUGGCAACUUUUGGACCACCCCUACACGGAACCGGCCAGACACAACAGACGACGACAGGGAAACCCAACCCUCAGUAAUAAAAGGGCUGUACACAGCAUCGGGCUCUUUUGAGCACACAAAACCAACGCUCUUAGGUGGAGACGGAGGAGUUUUGGACUUAGCCUUUAGCACUGGACACUCGGCUAUCAGGUGACCUGGGCGAUGACAAUAGAAACAAUCCCUCUCAGUCCUAUUAAGAGACGGGGCAGAGGAACCUGCGGAACCACGAGGGGUCCUGGACACCUGUGACAUACGAGACCUGGUCUCUGGAUUAGGUGGGCCAAACACUGUUUUGUGUGUCAGAGCAUAUUCAUCAGCCAUUACAGCUGCUUGUUUUAAUGUGGCUACUUUCUGUUCAUUUAGGUGUACUACGAUCCUAUCUGGCAGGUGGUUUUUGAAGUCUUCUAGCAGUAUCAUUUCUCUAAUGGCAGCGAACAGAGACGCCACCACCUCCUGUGCCUUCCCUGUCAGCCUACACUGGAGCAGCAAAGGCCAGACCUCCUUAGGCCAGCGAAGAGCCCCUGCUACUCUCUCAAAAGCGGAGAAGUAGGAAUCCACUUCUGCUUCUCUGAAUGGAGGAACGACAGCUAUGUUUCUCCCAACAUCAAAAGGCCCCUCUCUACCCACUGGUCAGCUUCAAGGCGGGCCAGCCGAAGCUUAAGUCUAGCGGUCUCCCCCGAGCCCUCAGGCUCAAAAGGAGAUGGCUCGAACUUGGGUAGGGUCAAAGGCGCCCGAGUCGCCACCCCCACACCGCCCUCCGGCCGUGCAGGCGAGAGACUUGUCAGCACCUCAUGCCCUUCCCCAGCUUCCUCAGCUGCCACUUGCUCCUCAACCUCUUCCUCCUCGACCUCCUCUUCCUCAUCCUCAUCCUGUGAGGGAACUACACCUUGAGACAAUAAAUGCAGUGAAAUGACUGCAACUAUUUCUGCCUUGAGUGAGUGCUUGGAGACUGGGAUGUUAUAGUGAGCUGCUACCGCUAACAAGUCUGUUUUAGUGAGCCGUGACAAACCCUCAAGAGUAGGGUCCGCAAUAAAAAGGUCCAC